GACGAACGCUGGCGGCGUGCUUAACACAUGCAAGUCGAACGGAAAGGCCCUGCUUUUGUGGGGUGCUCGAGUGGCGAACGGGUGAGUAACACGUGAGUAACCUGCCCUUGACUUUGGGAUAACUUCAGGAAACUGGGGCUAAUACCGGAUAGGAGCUCCUGCUGCAUGGUGGGGGUUGGAAAGUUUCGGCGGUUGGGGAUGGACUCGCGGCUUAUCAGCUUGUUGGUGGGGUAGUGGCUUACCAAGGCUUUGACGGGUAGCCGGCCUGAGAGGGUGACCGGGCACAUUGGGACUGAGAUACGGACCAGACUCCUACGGGAGGCAGCAGUGGGGAAUAUUGCACAAUGGGCGGAAGCCUGAUGCAGCAACGCCGCGUGCGGGAUGACGGCCUUCGGGUUGUAAACCGCUUUCGCCUGUGACGAAGCGUGAGUGACGGUAAUGGGUAAAGAAGCAACGGCUAACUACGUG
rnacentral:rRNA from 1 species